UGGGGAAUCUUGCGCAAUGGGGGAAACCCUGACGCAGCGACGCCGCGUGCGGGAUGAAGGCCUUCGGGUUGUAAACCGCUUUCAGCAGGGACGAGGCCUUAUGGUGACGGUACCUGCAGAAGAAGCUCCGGCUAAAUACGUGCCAGCAGCCGCGGUAAUACGUAUGGAGCAAGCGUUAUCCGGAUUCAUUGGGCGUAAAGCGCUCGUAGGCGGUCUGUUAGGUCGGCAAGUUAAUUCCGGGGGCUCAACCCCCGUCCGCUUCCGAUACCGGCAGACUUGAGUUUGGUAGGGGAAGGUGGAAUUCCUAGUGUAGCGGUGGAAUGCGCAGAUAUUAGGAAGAACACCGGUGGCGAAGGCGGCCUUCUGGGCCAUAACUGACGCUGAGGAGCGAAAGCUAGGGGAGCGAACAGG
rnacentral:rRNA from 1 species